AUUCCCUGUAUUCGAAGCGAAAGAAGAUGAUGUUGAAGGGAUUCCUGACGGUAUUUCCCGACUUCUUGAGCAAGAAAAGAAGAUCACUCAGCUGCAUCUCGAGAAUCAGCAGAACAGCCAACUGGGGCAUCGAAAAAAAGAGAGAAAAAGAAAAAUAGAAAAAGAAAGAGGAGGGUGCAAAAAUCAAAAAAAAAAAAUCAAAAGAAAUCCAGAUCAAAAGAAAGAAAAAGAAAGAAAGAAACAAAAAAA
rnacentral:lncRNA from 1 species